rnacentral:lncRNA from 1 species
CCCACUCAGCACUGGAGUCACAGACUAAUGUUUUAUGGGGAUCUGAACUCAGGUCCAUACAGGUAUGCACCAAGUACUUUACCACUGAGCCACACAUUCAGUCCCCCACUGUCUUUCAAAACCACCGAGACCAAACAAAUGAGAUGAAAUCUGACAGUGUUGCUUUUGUUUACUAUAGAUUUCAUUUUUUGGAUAGGUAUUUCCAGAAUAUAGAGUUACAUGAAGUCAGUCAGUACUUUUUAAAAAAGCAGCAUCUAUGGCGGUGGCUGACUAGUCAGACCCAUCCUGAAUUAUGCCCAGCACUAUCUGAUGGAAUGACCUCAGGAGGAAAGAGGAGUGACCAGUUGAGCAGGGAUGACCACAUACAAUUCAUGCUUCAAGGGAAUGGAUAUGGUGGAGAUGCCGACACCCACACCAGGAUUAUCAGACUGUUUUGUUGUACACAGAUGUCCUCUCAUAUGGUUAAAUGCUUAAUUUAUUUCCUUGACACCUACUCUGACUGGGAUUCACAAGGAACAAGGACUUAUUUUUCCAAUGUCCAGCGUCUGCCUAGUACAUGGAAGGAACUCAGUCAACACUGGUGAGGCUAUGGCUCACACAAGUUCAUGUCCUAGAAUGUUAAUUAUGUGUUGUGUAAGAAUAAAAUGGGAUGAUGUUUUCCUUAAAAG